CCAUACCAAACUGUUGCCUCGGCGGGGUCACGCCCCGGGUGCGUCGCAGCCCCGGAACCAGGCGCCCGCCGGAGGGACCAACCAAACUCUUUUCUGUAGUCCCCUCGCGGACGUUAUUUCUUACAGCUCUGAGCAAAAAUUCAAAAUGAAUCAAAACUUUCAACAACGGAUCUCUUGGUUCUGGCAUCGAUGAAGAACGCAGCGAAAUGCGAUAAGUAAUGUGAAUUGCAGAAUUCAGUGAAUCAUCGAAUCUUUGAACGCACAUUGCGCCCGCCAGUAUUCUGGCGGGCAUGCCUGUCCGAGCGUCAUUUCAACCCUCGAACCCCUCCGGGGGGUCGGCGUUGGGGAUCGGGAACCCCUAAGACGGGAUCCCGGCCCCGAAAUACAGUGGCGGUCUCGCCGCAGCCUCUCCUGCGCAGUAGUUUGCACAACUCGCACCGGGAGCGCGGCGCGUCCACGUCCGUAAAACACCCAACUUCUGAAAUGUUGACCUCGGAUCAGGUAGGAAUACCCGCUGAACUUAAGCAUAUCAAUA
rnacentral:rRNA from 1 species